UUGUGUCAACAUAGUAGUGCUGUUCUUUCUUUAAAGUGUGAAUGAAAAGAAAAGCAUCUCCGUCUGUGUUGAUUUGCUUCAUCACGGUUGCUCAGGGCAAACAAAAAGACGCGGGUUCUUGUUGCACAGGUAUUCAAAGGAAAAGUUUCAAGAAAGCACAACUUCUGAGUCCUUCUCUCUUGUGUCUUGAAGCUGUUUUGGAGAGGGGAGGGGAGGUGCAGGGAGGAGGCGGUAGGUGGAGUGAGGUUGGAGUCCCACACAAGGGGAACCACUGGCAAAGCAGCCGUUUCAAACGGUGCUCCUCUGAGCUGUCUGUGCCUCUCUCUGUUUGUAUUCCCUGGGAGUCCGCAUGCACCUGUGUGUUUCAGCACUCACUAGUCUCUCUCAUUCCAACUGGUUGUUUGUCAAUGUUGUCAGGUUUGCAGCUCGUGCAGCAGUCAGCAGGAGAGAAGCAGUACUGGACCUGGUAGACUCACAAUAACAAAUCACAGCAAAGGAGUUGUGAGUUUGGAAGUUUCUGCCUCCAUCUUGAGACGAAAGAAGUCUGAGGAACAAACUUGCCUGGCUGAAAUGAAGCACUGACAACAAGCAGACUUGUGUGGAAAGGGGUAACACACGUGACAGAGCUGCAGCGUGGAGCUGAGAGGAGCGGGAGUGGUUCAGUGAGGGCACCUCUGGAUGAACCUCUUAGCAUUUUUUUGCUGUUCUGGACUCCAGCUGGUGUGAUCAACCUGCAAGAAAUGAAAAGCAGUAUGGAGCUGGAUCUGUGUUAGCUGCUGACCAUAGAAGGCGGCGAUAAGAACUUCAGUAGCUGAUGGAGAGCACCAACCAUGUUCCCUCUGAUGCUCUGUUACCUGGGGUGGCCCAGAGUGCCUUUUCACCCCUUUAGGAGUGCAGGCCCACCUGAUGCACUCCUCUGCUCUCCUGCUCAUGUGCGCCUUGGCCGGGAUGGUGGGUGGUUGCCUGGAGUGGGCUGGGUUACAGCUGAGCAGCCAAUAGUGCUCCUCGUCCAAGCCGCAUUGACAUGACUUGACACAUUUAUUCAACCAAUCACAGAAUGCUGCAGCAACAGAGUAAAAAGAGCUGGAAAUACAGUGAGAAUUUGUUCAGAUGUGUUUGCCUUUUAGUCAUGAUGAGGUUAUUUACUUGUUAGAUGGCAUUAUUCAUGAUUGAUACCAUAUUGACUUGAUAUCUGCAAGUGUUGUCAUUAUUGGUUCUGUGCAGUACCUUCUGAAACUGAGAACUGAUUUUGUACAUUUCAUUUUCUGAUCAAACCUUUCAAUAGUGGUCUAUGGGACCUGUCCCCUUAAAAAUAAUAUAUUCUUCUCUUUACUGCUGAGAAGAAACAAAGGAAGACAGAUACAAGAGGGUCAGUUUUGGUCUCUAUUUAAAGAGCAGUCAUUUUAUCUUUCAUUCUUUUGCUUUUGUUUUGUUUUUUGUUUUUUUUGUUUCAGCCUGGAUUGCCCUUCAACUCAUGUUGAUCUAAAACACAAUCAGAAAAUUGUCUUGCAUAAUAAAUAAAAAUGACAGCCAUUCAUUUGUUCAA